rnacentral:misc_RNA from 1 species
GACGAGGGGUCCUAGCGUUGUUCGGAAUUACUGGGCGUAAAGCGCACGUAGGCGGCGUGGUAAGUCAGAUGUGAAAGCCCUGGGCUCAACCCAGGAACUGCAUUUGAUACUGCCGCGCUUGAGUAUGGUAGAGGGUAGUAGAAUUCCUGGUGUAGUGGUGAAAUACGUAGAUAUCAGGAGGAAUACCGGUGGCGAAGGCGGCUACCUGGACCAAUACUGACGCUGAGGUGCGAAAGCGUGGGGAGCGAACAGG